rnacentral:rRNA from 1 species
UGAACGCUGGCGGUAUGCUUUACACAUGCAAGUCGUACGAGAGUUUUUAACUCUAGUGGCGGACGGGUGAGUAACACGUAAGAAUUUGCCUUUAGGAGGGGGACAACAACUAGAAAUGGCUGCUAAUACCCCAUAUGCUUUCGAGUGAAAUGGAUUUUUCCGCCUAAAGAGAAGCUUGCGCCUGAUUAGCUUGUUGGUGAGGUAAUAGCUCACCAAGGCGACGAUCAGUAUCUGGUUUGAGAGGAUGAUCAGACACACUGGAACUGAGACACGGUCCAGACUCCUACGGGAGGCAGCAGUGGGGAAUUUUCCGCAAUGGGCGAAAGCCUGACGGAGCAAUACCGCGUGAGGGAUGACGGCCUAUGGGUUGUAAACCUCUUUUUUCAGGGAGGAAUCAAAUGACGUGUACCUGAAGAAUAAGCAUCGGCUAACUCC